GGUUGGCUGAGGACGAUUCCCUGAGCCUUGACAAAGCAGGAGCCCUCCGUGGCGGUGCGUCGGUGUCGAGGCUCCAGUCUGACUAAUCCAGGGGGUCGACAAAACAGAUUCGGGACACUAUGCUACACGGAGGGCCUACCAGGAUGCAGAAACAGCAGACGGAGUCCAGGGAAAGCAGUGCGGCAUCCCAGCCUCAGGCCUGCCCGUACGGUGUUCGGAAAUACUAGGCUUUAGAAUUUCACCAUAUGAAUUUUGGGAGAGAGGAGCACAGUUCAGCCCAUAACUAACACACGCAAGACAAAUCUCUCCUCUGCCUUCUCCUUAUCAGACUACUCAACAUGAAGGCAAUAAGAAUGAAGACCUCUAUGUAUAAUAAUUGACUUCCACUUAAUAAAUAGCUAGCUUGGACUUGUUCUGAUGGAAAUAGCAGGAGUCCCAACUACAAGAGUUGCAAUGUCAAGGCCUCAUCUUAUAACUGGCACAUAGGUCACUUCCACCAUAUUCUUUUUGCUAACGAAAGUCACAAAGUCAGUCCAUGUUCAAGUAGAGGGGAAACUGACUCCACCACUUGAUGUGAAGAGUUGGAAUAUCAUAGUUAUUGUUUCUUGUGACUUGCCAUAGCGUAUUUUCUCACACUAACAACUCUGUAUUUCUUCCCAAAUUCUGAAAAAUUCUUUUGUUGGCUCUUCCUGUACUUGAUUCAUUACAUUAAGUUUUCCAUUUAAAUGUUAUUUCCUUGGAAAGACUUUAUCAUUUGUCAAGUAGGUGUAUUCUCUUCAUCAGUUACUCUAUUUUCUCAUUACAAUAUGAACUUUGUAAAAAUGGGAACUUUACUUUGUUUAUGCCAGUAGUUUAUAUACAUUUUCUGUUACGUGAAAAGUACAAAAUGUUUUUUUCAUGGUUAAAGAAAUAAAAGAAUAAAUAUGUAA
rnacentral:lncRNA from 1 species